UUAGAGUUUGAUCAUGGCUCAGAUUGAACGCUGGCGGCAGGCCUAACACAUGCAAGUCGAACGGUAACAGGAAGCAGCUUGCUGUUUCGCUGACGAGUGGCGGACGGGUGAGUAAUGUCUGGGAAACUGCCUGAUGGAGGGGGACAACUACUGGAAACGGUAGCUAAUACCGCAUAACGUCGCAAGACCAAAGAGGGGGACCUUCGGGCCUCUUGCCAUCGGAUGUGCCCAGAUGGGAUUAGCUAGUAGGUGGGGUAACGGCUCACCUAGGCGACGAUCCCUAGCUGGUCUGAGAGGAUGACCAGCCACACUGGAACUGAGACACGGUCCAGACUCCUACGGGAGGCAGCAGUGGGGAAUAUUGCACAAUGGGCGCAAGCCUGAUGCAGCCAUGCCGCGUGUAUGAAGAAGGCCUUCGGGUUGUAAAGUACUUUCAGCGGGGAGGAAGGGAGUAAAGUUAAUACCUUUGCUCAUUGACGUUACCCGCAGAAGAAGCACCGGCUAACUCCGUGCCAGCAGCCGCGGUAAUACA
rnacentral:rRNA from 1 species